AGAUUGCUUAUUUUUGGAAAAAAAAUGUUUAAUUUAGUAAUUUAAAAGAAUUAUUCCACCAUAAAGCACUGUGAAAAGCACAAAGUCUUUUCUUUAUAAGAACUUUUUUUAAGUUUGAUGUUUAUGGCUAUCUAGCAUUGAAAACAGGAUGUAUUUCUGAACUGGUUUAUUUAAAUACGG